UACGUAGGGGGCAAGCGUUGUCCGGAAUUAUUGGGCGUAAAGAGCGUGUAGGCGGUCCGAUAAGUCGGCUGUGAAAGUCCAGGGCUCAACUCUGGAAUGCCGGCCGAUACUGUCGGACUAGAGUCCGGAAGAGGUGAGUGGAAUUCCCGGUGUAGCGGUGAAAUGCGCAGAUAUCAGGAGGAACACCGGUGGCGAAGGCGGGUCUCUGGGCCGAUACUGACGCUGAGGAGCGAAAGCGUGGGGAGCGAACAGG
rnacentral:rRNA from 1 species